GAUAGAUGCUCUUAUAUAUGGACUUUCAUUACUUGAAAAUUCAAUAACCGUUUUUAGUCAUGAAGAAGAUAUUCAGUGCGGCUGUCUUUUACGCAAUAGCCAACUUCAAGUGCUCUUUCUUUGGAUUUGAAAAAAUAAAUUUUGUUAUUGCCUUUCCUCAUGAUAAGAACUGAUUUUAUUUGAUGUCAUAGCCCAACAGAUGCUGGAAUGACGAGGUCAGUCAUACAUUAAUAAACAGUCUCUAAUACACAUGUAACCAAUGUAUCUGAUACAUAAAGAUAUGUAUCAGAUACAUGCAAUAACAUUAAAUCAUCAGUAUAAAUGGCAUUCUAAACUAAAUUCUUACAUGUGUUAACACUUAUUUAUCAUUUUAUAGAAUUAACUAUUGCUUAUGUUGUGCAGCACAUCGAUGUAAUAUUAUACUACCUAAGAAGUCUAAAAUAUAGUUCGGUAAUCAGUUUAUAUAUGCAACAAUAAAUUAUAUCUUCAAAACUUAUAUCGAGGUGGCAUACGGACAAUAUUAUCACAUUUUGGCUGAAAUUUCUACACAAAGAGAGAUGUCACGUGCCGUUGUUGUAUAUUCUCAUGAGAAGUCCGUGAAGAACAUAAUCAAAGGUUACACAAUAUCGCUGGUUUGCCAUUGCAUUUGGUAGAUGAGGUAUAUAUCUCCAUAAACUGUGAUAGUAAUUUUCAUUGGAUGCUGGUUGUUGUUGUAUUGAGAUAUAGGUCUAUACGCGUGUAUGAUUCAUCAUCUAGAUCAAGAAAAAAAAUCCCUUUCCCAGAUAUUCAAAAGUUAGCAGUAAUGCUUCCAACCUACCUCCAGAAUAGUGGGUUUCUUGAGCAUACCAAAUAUAUCGAUUGGUCAAUUCUUGAUUCGUAUAAGGGCAAAUCUACCGACUAUUUGCUUGAACCACAUCACCCUUUUUGGGUUGAAUAUGUUCAAGGCAUUGGACAACAUGGAAGUGAUAAAUUUGAUGGAAUUCCUAUCCCGUCAACUGCAUUAUAGGCAGAUUACCUCCGCUCAAGAUACGCAUCACUCUUAUGGAAUUAUGAAUAUGGAAAGGCAAAAGAGGUUAUGUUAGUGAAAACUACGAUCCUCCAAAGCUCAAGAGUGAUUUCAUAUUUCAUGCUGAAGAAGAAAUGGUCAAUGUCGAGUAGUUGUUUGAUCUUGGUACUAGUAGAAUGGAAGUUUUUCUUUUGAUAGUAAUAUUGAAAUUUAGAGUAGUUAGGUUACUGUUAGUUAACAUUGCUUUGUAUAAGUACUAUGGCAUACUAUUUCGAACAACUAUUAUUUUAAUCUUUUUUUUUAUGCAAUUACUUAUCAAA